UUUUAUUGUUUUAUUUCAAUCCAAACUUGCUUUAAUUCACACUCGAAUGGGUACAUAAUUGCCAGAGUAGUCGACUCAAAUCCAAUAUUUUAAGUUUCAACUCAGUUUCUUAUUUUUCUCUCACAGAAGACACGCAAAAAGGACACAGAGAAGUUAAGCACUUGUGAGGAAACAUGGAGAGGCUGUACAAGGCUUUCGGGGAUGACUUCUUGGAGUUCUAUAAGAGAGAAAUUGGGAUUUCUCAGCCCAGAUACUUCGCUCGCCGAAUCUCUGCUUCUGAGGUUACAGUGAAGCGACUGGAUCUGUACGGGAAAUUAAAUGGUCACGAGGGAUGUGUUAACACAAUUGACUUCAAUGCCACUGGCGAUGUUCUUGCCUCAGGUUCCGAUGACCGACGAGUAAUACUAUGGGACUGGGCGACAAGAAAAUCAAAACUGUCUUACCAAUCAGGCCACAUGGACAACAUAUUCCAGGCCAAGUUCAUGCCCUUCACCGAUGAUCGGAGAAUAGUAACUGCCGCUGCUGAUGGCCAGGUUAGGCUUGGUCUGUUGCUGGAGAAUGGUCAAGUAGAAACUAAAAGGCUAGGUAGGCACCAAGGUCGUGUACAUAAGCUUGCCGUGGAACCAGGGAGCCCCUACAUAUUCUAUAGCUGCGGUGAAGAUGGUUUUGUUCAACACUAUGACCUGCGAAGUAAUUCUGCCACAAAGAUAUUCUGUUGCUCAUCUUUCGCGGAAAACAAUAAGCAAUCUUCUAGCAGCAUAAGUUUGAACGCCAUUGUGAUAGAUCCGAGAAAACCAAAUUAUUUUGCAGUUGGUGGUUCUGACGAAUAUGCACGUGUAUAUGACGUCAGAAUGUAUGAAAUGGACGCGUUGCGUAAUUCUGAUAGGCCUGUCAACACAUUUUGCCCCCCUCACCUGAUCAAAACACAUGACGUUCACAUUACAGCAUUGGCUUACUCGAGCUCUAGUGAGUUACUGGUCUCAUACAAUGACGAAUUGAUAUAUUUGUUUCAGAAGAACAUGGGAUUGGGUCCGUCUCCCCUGUCUUCGCGAGGUGAAGAUGCAAAGAAACUGGAAGAGCCACAAGUUUAUUCUGGGCAUAGAAAUUCGAGAACCAUUAAAGGUGUGAGUUUCUUUGGUCCAAAUGAUGAAUAUGUCUUGAGUGGAUCUGACUGGCCAUAUAUUUAUCUGGAAGAAAAAGGGCGCUAACCUUGUUAGGUUGAUGGUUGGUGAUUGGCACAUAGUAAAUCAGCUUGAGCCCCAUCCCUGUAUUCCUGUUCUUGCAACAUGUGGAAUAGAAAAGACCAUAAAGCUUUGGACCCCGUCAUCGAAUAAUGUUUCUUCAUUGCCUCGUGAUGUCCUUAAGAUAAUGGAAGCUAACAGGCGAGGUCGAGAGGACCAUUCACAGGUUACACUGACCCCAGAUGUAAUAAUGCAUGUUUUACGUCUGCAAAGGAGGCAAGGGGUGGCUUAUGUUGAGAGAAGACACAACAGAGAUGAUGUUGAGAGUGAUGAAGAUGAUGGGGAAGGGGCUUAUAUAUUAGGGUUUCCAGAUGGUGAUACUGAGGAGGGUGUUACAGGAAAUUCUGAAUGCAGCAUUAGCUAGAGUCAUAUGUAUAAUAUCGGGGAACAAAAAUUUUUAUCCUCUACUCUUUUCUUCUUAUCUUCUAAGAGUCUGUAUCUACAUCAGUAGAGCUAUAGCGCUUUCACAAGUUCAGCUAACAUCUGAGUUUGAGAAUUUGCUGGCUGCCUGUUCACAAUGUCGAUAAAUAAGCAGUGUGUCAUCUGCACUUGAGCAAAGUUCAAAGUUUAGCAUAUAUAAAUUAUCUUGUAUCUUGAUUAGAAUGGGUGAAUGGUUUCAAUUUGAAACUUGAAAGAU